GAACGUAUGGCUUAAUGGCAGAGCCCUUGUACGGAUUCCAAUUGGCGCGGGUUCGAGUCCCGCUAUGUUUA
rnacentral:tRNA from 1 species